UACGGUCACAUCACCUUGAAAAACCGGUUCCCGUUUGAUCACCGAAGUUAAGCAUCAUCUAUCCUGGUUAGUACUUAGAUGGGUGACUGCUUGGGAAUACCAAGUGCUGCAAG